GAUGAACGCUGGCGGCGUGCCUAAUACAUGCAAGUCGAACGAGUUCUCGUUGAUGAUCGGUGCUUGCACCGAGAUUCAACAUGGAACGAGUGGCGGACGGGUGAGUAACACGUGGGUAACCUGCCCUUAAGUGGGGGAUAACAUUUGGAAACAGAUGCUAAUACCGCAUAGAUCCAAGAACCGCAUGGUUCUUGGCUGAAAGAUGGCGUAAGCUAUCGCUUUUGGAUGGACCCGCGGCGUAUUAGCUAGUUGGUGAGGUAAUGGCUCACCAAGGCGAUGAUACGUAGCCGAACUGAGAGGUUGAUCGGCCACAUUGGGACUGAGACACGGCCCAAACUCCUACGGGAGGCAGCAGUAGGGAAUCUUCCACAAUGGACGCAAGUCUGAUGGAGCAACGCCGCGUGAGUGAAGAAGGCUUUCGGGUCGUAAAACUCUGUUGUUGGAGAAGAAUGGUCGGCAGAGUAACUGUUGUCGGCGUGACGGUAUCCAACCAGAAAGCCACGGCUAACUACGUGCCAGCAGCCGCGGUAAUACGUAGGUGGCAAGCGUUAUCCGGAUUUAUUGGGCGUAAAGCGAGCGCAGGCGGUUUUUUAAGUCUGAUGUGAAAGCCCUCGGCUUAACCGAGGAAGCGCAUCGGAAACUGGGAAACUUGAGUGCAGAAGAGGACAGUGGAACUCCAUGUGUAGCGGUGAAAUGCGUAGAUAUAUGGAAGAACACCAGUGGCGAAGGCGGCUGUCUGGUCUGUAACUGACGCUGAGGCUCGAAAGCAUGGGUAGCGAACAGGAUUAGAUACCCUGGUAGUCCAUGCCGUAAACGAUGAAUGCUAGGUGUUGGAGGGUUUCCGCCCUUCAGUGCCGCAGCUAACGCAUUAAGCAUUCCGCCUGGGGAGUACGACCGCAAGGUUGAAACUCAAAGGAAUUGACGGGGGCCCGCACAAGCGGUGGAGCAUGUGGUUUAAUUCGAAGCAACGCGAAGAACCUUACCAGGUCUUGACAUCUUUUGAUCACCUGAGAGAUCAGGUUUCCCCUUCGGGGGCAAAAUGACAGGUGGUGCAUGGUUGUCGUCAGCUCGUGUCGUGAGAUGUUGGGUUAAGUCCCGCAACGAGCGCAACCCUUAUGACUAGUUGCCAGCAUUUAGUUGGGCACUCUAGUAAGACUGCCGGUGACAAACCGGAGGAAGGUGGGGAUGACGUCAAAUCAUCAUGCCCCUUAUGACCUGGGCUACACACGUGCUACAAUGGAUGGUACAACGAGUUGCGAGACCGCGAGGUCAAGCUAAUCUCUUAAAGCCAUUCUCAGUUCGGACUGUAGGCUGCAACUCGCCUACACGAAGUCGGAAUCGCUAGUAAUCGCGGAUCAGCACGCCGCGGUGAAUACGUUCCCGGGCCUUGUACACACCGCCCGUCACACCAUGAGAGUUUGUAACACCCGAAGCCGGUGGCGUAACCCUUUUAGGGAGCGAGCCGUCUAAGGUGGGACAAAUGA
rnacentral:rRNA from 2 species